rnacentral:rRNA from 1 species
AGUGAACGCUGGCGGUAGGCCUAACACAUGCAAGUCGAACGGCAGCACAGUAAGAGCUUGCUCUUACGGGUGGCGAGUGGCGGACGGGUGAGGAAUACAUAGGAAUCUACUUUUUCGUGGGGGAUAACGUAGGGAAACUUACGCUAAUACCGCAUACGACCUACGGGUGAAAGCAGGGGAUCUUCGGACCUUGCGCGAUUGAAUGAGCCGAUGUCGGAUUAGCUAGUUGGCGGGGUAAAGGCCCACCAAGGCGACGAUCCGUAGCUGGACUGAGAGGAUGAUCAGCCACACUGGAACUGAGACACGGUCCAGACUCCUACGGGAGGCAGCAGUGGGGAAUAUUGGACAAUGGGCGCAAGCCUGAUCCAGCCAUACCGCGUGGGUGAAGAAGGCCUUCGGGUUGUAAAGCCCUUUUGUUGGGAAAGAAAAGCAGCAGGUUAAUACCCCGCUGUUCUGACGGUACCCAAAGAAUAAGCACCGGCUAACUUCGUG